CGAGACCCCAUAUGAACAACAAUGCCAACCAACCAGAGCUUCCAGGGACUGAGCCACUACCCAAAGACUAUACAUGGACUGACCCUGGGCUCCAACCGCAUAGGUAGCAAUGAAUAGCCUAGUAAGAGCACCAGUGGAAGGGGAAACCCUUGGUCCUGCCAAGACUGAACCCCCAGUGAAUGUGAUUGUUGUGGUGAGAGUGGUAAUGGGGGGGAGGAUGGGGAGGAGAAGCCCAUGUAGAAGGGGAAGGGUAGGGGCUAGGGAGAUGUUGGCCCAGAAACUGGGAAGGGGAAUAACAAUCGAAAUGUAAAUAAGAAAUACUCAAGUUAAUAAAGAUUAAAA
rnacentral:lncRNA from 1 species